AUGAGAUUCUAUGCCCAAGUCAGUCUCUUAAGAGUCAAGCUUGCCUAACCGCAGAAGUAGGACCGAGGACCAAGAGCUCGGGA
rnacentral:tRNA from 1 species